GGCGGUGCUCACAAAGAAGACGAAGAAGACAGAUGAAGAUAAGAGAGAAAAUGAAAGGGAAGGAGAAUAAGAACAACAAUCUUUUAAAGUGGUUCGGCACACGGCCUACAUCCACUGUAGGGAGAAAACUUUUCUAUUUCACAGCACAAGUUUACAAGAUAUACUGAGUCUUGAGUUGGUUUCAACAAACUAUAAAACUCCACCUUGAAACAGACUGCAAGCGAAGAAAAAAUCCCCCUUUCUGAGGAAGAUCUACCCCUUUUCUGGUACAUGCAUUCCAAUCAAUCUUAGACAGUGUUCAAAUUUUUGUUGAUUGACUGGUUUUGUGAGCAUGUCUGCGGCAUUUUCUGAUGUAUGAACUUUCUCCACCUUGAUUUGCUGUUUUUCGAUUUGUUCUCGGAUGAAAUGGUAUUUCACAUCUAUAUGUUUUGUUCUA